rnacentral:rRNA from 1 species
CUCGUAGGCGGCCUACUAAGUCAGACGUGAAAUCCCCCGGCUUAACCUGGGAACUGCGUCUGAUACUGGAAGGCUUGAGUAUGGGAGAGGGAUGUAGAAUUCCAGGUGUAGCGGUGAAAUGCGUAGAUAUCUGGAGGAAUACCGGUGGCGAAGGCGGCAUCCUGGACCAUUACUGACGCUGAGGCGCGAAAGCUAGGGGAGCAAACG